AUUAUUUAUCAAUGUCACAGACUUCCAUCCAUGGAUCAAAGAAAUGCAUUAACGAUUGUAUGUCAACUACUGCCACCUGAAAAUAGGAACACAUUGCGUUCUCUGUUAAGAUUUUUAAACAAUAUUAUUGACUUGAAAGAUAUAAACAAAUGGACCUGCAUAACGUAUCUACAAUAAUUGCUCCAUCAUUUUUUCCACCACGAUUUAUUCACCCGAGUGACAGAACCAGCAUUGCUGAGCAAGUAAAAGUGGCUGCACAUUGUUGCCGUUUGACGAAAGUUUUAAUCUUGCAUGGUGAUAAACUUUUUCGAGUACCAAAUAAUCUAAUUAUAGAAUCCAAGACUAAGAAAACGAGAAUGGCUAAAAAAGAAUGGCUUCGGCGAGAUAGUCUCAAUAAAUGAAAGAACACCUAAUACAAUUCGAAUCAAUACCUGUAAUGCAGCGGUCGGCAGCUCAGCCUCAGCGGGACACGUACAUCGUAGAACAGCAGCCGUCCCACACACAACAAUAAGCUGUCCCGUGCAACUUACUCACACAUUUAAAGAAUAAAAUGUCAUGGCAUUUCGUGCCGGCCACUGCUUUAUUGGCAACGGUCCUGUCAUUGCAGCUAUUAAUAAAAAUUAAAGUAAUUCACAA